rnacentral:rRNA from 1 species
UACGAAGGGGGCUAGCGUUGCUCGGAAUGACUGGGCGUAAAGGGCGCGUAGGCGGAUGGCACAGUCAGAUGUGAAAUUCCUGGGCUUAACCUGGGGGCUGCAUUUGAUACGUGUUGUCUUGAGUGAGGAAGAGGGUCGUGGAAUUCCCAGUGUAGAGGUGAAAUUCGUAGAUAUUGGGAAGAACACCGGUGGCGAAGGCGGCGACCUGGUCCUUAACUGACGCUGAGGCACGAAAGCGUGGGUAGCAAACAGG